UACGGAGGAUCCAAGCGUUAUCCGGAUUUAUUGGGUUUAAAGGGUGCGUAGGCGGCUUAUUAAGUCAGGGGUGAAAGACGGUAGCUCAACUAUCGCAGUGCCCUUGAUACUGAUGGGCUUGAAUGUACUAGAGGUAGGCGGAAUGUGACAAGUAGCGGUGAAAUGCAUAGAUAUGUCACAGAACACCAAUUGCGAAGGCAGCUUACUAUGGUAUAAUUGACGCUGAGGCACGAAAGCGUGGGGAUCAAACAGG
rnacentral:rRNA from 1 species